UUCUCUUCUCAUGUCUCCGAUUUCCCACAUGAUCUUGGGGAUUGCAUCUCAGUUCAGGACUGUGAUGGUUUAUAUUGUCACCUUGGUGGGAUCUAGAAGCAUCUCUGAGAUACAUCUGUGCACAACUGCGAGGAGUUUUAGGCGAAUUGAGCAAGUGCAGCUGGAGAUGAGAACUCCGCUGAAGAUGUCGGCCUGAGGACCGGGUGAGAUUGGACAGCUUGUGGGAUCUGCCAAGCGUCCAAUGUGGCCUCUCGGUAGAUGCUACCCACUGGAUUUGGGUCUCAAUAAUGAAACACACAAAGAAUUACCCUUUUUUAUGAGAUGUACUGAGGAAGAUUUAGUUUCAAUAAUCAUCGACUUAUUUAAUGAAAACAAUGCUUUAUGGAAAAACAGUAUAAAUGUAACUUCGAGAGGCUGGACGCUUA